UCAUAGAGUCGCGACUUCUAGGAGACGCGAAUCUGUGAGAUAAAAGUUAUUACAACUUUCAGCAAUGGAUCUCUUGGCUCUCGCAUCGAUGAAGAACGCAGCGAAAAGCGAUAUGUAAUGUGAAUUGCAGAUCUACAGUGAAUCAUCGAAUCUUUGAA
rnacentral:rRNA from 1 species